GUCAACGAUCAUACCACGUUGAAUACACCAGUUCCCGUCAGAGCACUGAAGUUAAGCAACGUCGGGCGUGGUCAAUACUUGGAUGGGUGACCGCUUGGGAACACCACGUAUCGUUGGCUGAU
rnacentral:rRNA from 1 species